rnacentral:ncRNA from 2 species
CUUGCCCUGCGCUAUGGUGGUCGCGUCGUGGUGAACGGGAAGACCGGUGCAAGACCGGCGCGGCCCUCGCCACUGUGAUCGAGGAGUCGUCGAGCUUUGCUUGGGGAAACCACCCCGCGGCCACCGGGCACCAGCCUGGGAAGGUCAGCUCGGCGGCGGUGACUCGUCAGCCAGGAGACCGGCCACGACGCGUCAUGUCCA